rnacentral:lncRNA from 1 species
AUAUCCGCCCUCAAACGAUAUUUUCACCUAUGCUCUACUACCGUUUUUCAUCACCUUUUUAUCAACAAUACAUCACUGCUGAUGGUUUUCUCCCCAGCUUCUCAUGGUCACUUAUCUCUUUUUCUGAACUUCUACACUCUUUCAUUUGGAUUCUUGGUCAACCUUCUCGAUGGAGGCCUAUAUCUCGGACAGUAUUCCUAGAAAGAUUACCGGAAGACGAAGAAUUACCUCCAAUAGAUGCACUGCAGAUCCAAACAAAGAACCAACUAUAGGAGUGUUGAACACAGUGAUAUCAGCUAUGUCUUUAGACUACCCUUCUGAAAAGCUCUUUGUGUAUGUGUCCGAUGAUGGGGGUGCACCUAUUACUUUGUUUGGUAUGAUAGAAGCUUAUAGUUUUGCUAAACAAGGGAUUCCUUUUUGUAAGAAAUAUGGAAUAAAAACAAGAGCUCCAGAUGCUCAUUUCUCGCAAUCAGAUCAUCAAAAGGAAAAUGGUUCAAUGAGUAAUGAAUUUGCUGAAAUUAAUUCGAAAGGAAAUGGAGGUGAGCUAACAUUUCGAUCUUAUCGCGUACUCUUACAGUGCAUCAUAAAAUUUAGUUACUUUUACUGUUUUACACGUCUAAUUAACAAGAUUCAAUCCAGGUUAGGUAUCAAGUGUUUAAGCAACGGGUGCAGAAAGCAAGAUCAAGUGGUGCUGCAAGCUUAUCUUCUGGUUCAGAUCGACCUCCUAUUAUCGACGUAAAUUAAGUUUAAUUUGGUGGUAUUGACAUGUUUACAGUAUAUUGAUUUAGGCAAAUUAGAUUUUGUGGACUUGCUGACCCUGAAUUCGAUUAUGGCAGGUCAUACAAAAUGAUGCAGUCGAUGGUGAAGUAAAAGAAAAUGAUCAAGCCAAGGUGGCUCUUCUAAUUUAUGUUUCGCGUGAAGAAAGACCAACUCAUCCACACCAUUUCAAACCAGGAGCUCUUAAUGCCCUUGUAUGUUUAAUUGUUUAUAUUUAUUCCUCUCCCUUCUAGUGUUCUACGACACAUUAUGAUGUACUGGUCACUUCGAUCAGCAUGACGUACUGGUAUUAAUUAACGACCAAUAACCUCUUGACGCAUGUCCUUGUUGCAGCUUCGUGUGUCAGGCAUAAUAAGCAAUUCUCCAUACAUGUUGGUCUUAGAUUGUGAUAUGAAUUGCAGUGACCCAACCUCUGCUAGACAAGCUAUGUGUUUCCACAUUGAUCCUGACAUCUCUCCCUCGUUGGCUUUUGUUCAAUUUCCUCAACUGUUCCAUAAUCUCAGUAAGAAUGACAUCUAUAAUGAUCUAUUGAGAACCGGAUGUGAGGUAUAUCUACGUUAAACGAGUCUUGUAUAGCUAAUUAACGUCUCAGAGUCGGGAUAAUCUAGGUUAUUAAAACUGUUCUGAUUAUAUUUGCAAUCGGACGUCGUUAUAUUUCAGGUGCAGUGGUAUGGUCUGGAUGGCCUACGGGGGCCACUUUUAUCUGGCACUGGCUUUUAUACGAAGAGAGAAGCUUUGUUUAGAAGUCCUACACAAAAAGGUUUAGCAAAAAACUUAGGGACGGGUUCCUUCUUCUACUGACUUAUGUAAAGUGUUUUUUUUUUUUUUUUUUUUGAUAAUUAAGUUUAACACCUUAUUAAAAUUAAAACUGUCAGAAACAAGUUACAAGAAGUUAACAUGGACAGUGAGAGAGACACUCACUCUCCUUGCAGGCCUAAUCAACUCUUUAUUGUGCAGAUCUAAGUCACAUUAGGAAUAGGCAAGAUGUCGGUUGUUCAAAUGACUUCAUCACAUCACUUCAUCCUGAUAACAAAGUUAAAGCAAUUAGCAAUAAUCAACAUGUAUCAAGCAGAUUGCUUGAAGAGGCCAGACUUCUGGCUUCUUGCACAUACGAGUAACAAACACAAUGGGGUGAACAGGUAAGUUAAUUUCCAAAUGAAUAAACAAACCAUCUCAUGUCAUUAUGACCCUAUCAGUAUUGUUCCAUCAAAAUUUUUAUAAGAAUGAGAAGUACGGACAAACUGAUUUAAGCUACAAGAUAAUAUUCAGCUCUCAUAUUAAAAAUGUGUUAGUAUCAUAAUAACUGAGCUGCAUAAGUGCUUCAGCUUAGGAUCUACAUAAAAAAUACGAAAUUCCAUCAGUAAUUACUUACUCUUUACCUAGUGUCUUACCUCUCUUUCUUUCUUAAUGGCGUUUUCUGAAAUAUCCAGACCUACAACAUAACGUUCAGGGCCAACAAUUGCAAUCACAUGAUGAUCUUGUUGGCUAUAAUAAGUAAGUACAAUAUAACGUGCAAACUAAUAAAACAUAAAAAUUAAACAAGUUUGUUGAACAGUUUUAAUUAGAGACCAAAUGUUGUUACAUGCGUGAAAACGCCACUUUCACUUAUAAAUGACCAUUGCAUCAAAAUGUCAUGUCAUCAGAUAAAAUUUUAACAUUUUGGAACAUGUACUCACAUGCUGAAACAAUAACAAACAUGUAAACACUUACAGUGUCACAUACUGGGAUUAGAACCCUGCCUUUUGGAAGAGGAAGAGCAGCUGGUUUGUAGAAGAUUUAAAAUAACAGGUGUUGGUCCUCGCAAAUCCCCAUAGUGUUCAGUGCUUUUUCCUAGCAUUAUUUGUCCCAGGCACCUAGUCAUUCAAACUUAAACAAAAUUCAGAAAUUCAAUAGUUGUAAUGGACAGAACGACUUAGAAAUUAAACACAAGUUUUCCUUUGAGCUUCCAAUGUAGUCAAUUAUGUUGAUGUAAAAAUCCAUUAAGGCCAUUAUGCUAUGCUUCUUGAAGCAGAUUUACAAACAUUCUACAAAUAAGUCAAAGUGUUGCAAGGUUUCUGUUACAUGUUCGAUAAUCUAAUUCUCACUGGUAUGAUUAUGUAUUCACAUUAUCACUUCAAAUUUUCAUCAUCAUCAUCAUCAUCAUCAUCAUACUCAAAUUAUCACAAAUAAGAUAUUGAAUUCCAUGGAAAUUGAAGAAUAUACAAUUAAAUUAAACAACAAUAAAAAGAAGAGUAGAGAUGAGAUGAGAUGAGAUAGUAAGGAGAGAGUGUCAGACCUGUUGAAUCAUUGUUAACGAAUUGGUUCAAGUUAGGUAGAUUUUAGUUGUUGUUGUUGUUCGAAAUCUUCUCUUGAUCUCUUCUCUUUCACUUUGUUUCCUCAUGCUCCUUCGUUCCAACCUAUUGCAAGUUGCAACAACAAAGAUUUUUCACUCUUGUUGUUGUUAAAUGUAAAUGAAGGAAACUGCAAUUGGAUUUGGAGAGCGAACGAACAAGAUUACAAGAGUGUUGCGCGCAAGCAAACAUUACCAUCGCUCGCUCUCGCUCUCGCUCUCGAGUCUCGUCAAACCUUGGAGGAAGAUUGCCUUGGACUGGGCACUGGACUUGCUGAAUUUCUCAACCUAAAGGCAACAAUCUUGCUGUCUAUU